CCUACGGGGGGCAGCAGUGAGGAAUAUUGGUCAAUGGACGAGAGUCUGAACCAGCCAAGUAGCGUGAAGGAUGACUGCCCUAUGGGUUGUAAACUUCUUUUAUAUGGGAAUAAAAUGUUCCACGUGUGGGAUUUUGUAUGUACCAUAUGAAUAAGGAUCGGCUAACUCCGUGCCAGCAGCCGCGGUAAUACGGAGGAUCCGAGCGUUAUCCGGAUUUAUUGGGUUUAAAGGGAGCGUAGGUGGAUUGUUAAGUCAGUUGUGAAAGUUUGCGGCUCAACCGUAAAAUUGCAGUUGAAACUGGCAGUCUUGAGUACAGUAGAGGUGGGCGGAAUUCGUGGUGUAGCGGUGAAAUGCUUAGAUAUCACGAAGAACUCCGAUUGCGAAGGCAGUUCACUGGACUGCAACUGACAUUGAUGCUCGAAAGUGUGGGUAUCAAACAGGAUUAGAUACCCUUGUAGUC
rnacentral:rRNA from 1 species